CGCCCACCACUGCCCACCUCUCUGAAGAUGUACAACCUGUGUGCUACAGGAUCAUAAAAACUUUAUAACUGGAGGGGAUGCAGCAGGAAUAGAGGUGAACACUGCCUCUUCCUGGGACAAAUAUGAAUUUUGGUGCCUCUUGAAGGAGCUAUAUGGACCCUACUCACAUAACUGCAUCUCUUCUUGAAGUGCCUGGACCAGGAGGAACUGAACUGAGUGCCAACAUGUUUGUGAGUGACACGCUUGUGACUGCUUCCCAUUGUGGAACAAAAGAUGCAAAAGGUGACCCGUGUUUUGCAGAUGAUCAGUCCAGGGACCGUGUGCUAUGUUUUCCUCCUGUUCGUGUGACUCUGGG